rnacentral:rRNA from 1 species
AAAGCGUGCGCAGGCGGUUUUGUAAGUCUGUCGUGAAAUCCCCGGGCUCAACCUGGGAAUGGCGAUGGAGACUGCAAGGCUAGAAUCUGGCAGAGGGGGGUAGAAUUCCACGUGUAGCAGUGAAAUGCGUAGAGAUGUGGAGGAACACCGAUGGCGAAGGCAGCCCCCUGGGUCAAGAUUGACGCUCAUGCACGAAAGCGUGGGGAGCAAACAGGAUUAGAUACCCUUGU